rnacentral:sRNA from 1 species
CUUCCUCCACCUGCUGCGGGCAUAUAAAGUGUACAUGCGUGUCAAUUCCUCCCGCAGUCACGAUCUUUGCUUCCCCCGAGAUAACAUCGGUGGUAGAGCCGAUUAUCAUGUUCGGAGUCACGCCGUCCAUCACGUCCGGAUUUCCCGCUUGGCCGACUCCACAUAUAAGCCCGUCCUUUAUGCCGAUAUCAGCCUUGUAAAUACCAGUCCAGUCGAUGACCAGUGCGUUGGUCACGACAGCGUCCAAGGUAUCUGCAGAGUGCCUUCCUGUAGCUUGUCCCAUGCCAUCUCGGAUAG